CACACACACCACAAGCCCGUCCUCUCCCUCCCCGCACCCUUCUUUCCUCUUCCUCCUGCUGACCUCCCGACCCAAAGAUCUCUUCUGAUCCGCCGUCGCCUCCCCUACGGCCGCCGCCGCGCCGUGCCUUAGCGCCAGCCACCGCCGACCCUUCAGCCCGCCCCCACCGCCGACCCUUCAGCCCGCCCCCCACCCCUCACCCCACCCGCGCCCUCGUACUCGCGCCCAUCGCCGCUCCCGGCUGCCCUCGUCGUCACAUCGCGUUCCCGCCGUCUCCGCCCCUGCCGCACUCUUCGGGGUUUGAGGAACAUACCAUGGAGAUUAGGCCAAUGGUAGCCCUGCGUGCUGCCCUAGUAGGCGGUGUAGCUGCAUUCGCAAAGAUCGCCGGGGCGAUGAAAGCUGCAGGCGGCGUGAAGGUUGGCGCGGCGGCUGCAGCCAUGACAGCCGCAGCGACGGCCGCUGUGUCCGGAAAAGACGCAGGUACUGAUAACCAAAAGCCGGGGGCAAAAUGAUACGUGCCAUGGAUUUGCUGGAGAAGCAGUGUUCUAAAAUGCUUCUCCACAGCUUGUAGACCAGCAUUCAGCAGUUUAUCAGUGCUGAAGAGCUGCAGAAGCUAAUUGUGGCCUUCGGGAGGAGGUCGCAUUCACAAUAAAUAAGUUUUGCCACCGCAAUUCCCAUGAUACAUGUGUUUUUGUAACUCAGGGUAUGAGAACCGUGAUCCGCUGAAUUUUGUUUCUUGUUGAUGAUUUGCUCCCAUGAUACAUUAUCAGUGCUGAAGUGCCCUGAAGCUGUACUGUCAGGCACCAAAUUCCAGGGCCGUCCUGGUGCUAAUUCCUCGGUAAACGGUUCUAUCAAGCACAUGCAUCUUUCAGCAUUUGCUCGAGACCUAUGUUUGUAUCUGUUUGGUCAUGUGCUGUGUCUAAACACUUGCAAUGAUAAA